rnacentral:rRNA from 1 species
UACGUAGGUGGCGAGCGUUGUCCGGAAUUACUGGGUGUAAAGGGCGUGUAGGCGGGGCGGCAAGUCAGAUGUGAAAUUCCGGGGCUCAACUCCGGCGCUGCAUCUGAAACUGUCGUUCUUGAGUGCUGGAGAGGAAAGUGGAAUUCCCAGUGUAGCGGUGAAAUGCGUAGAGAUUGGGAGGAACACCAGUGGCGAAGGCGGCUUUCUGGACAGUAACUGACGCUGAGGUGCGACAGCGUGGGGAGCAAACAGG